UGCCCUAGUAACGGCGAGUGAAGCGGCAACAGCUCAAAUUUGAAAUCUGGCUUCGGCCCGAGUUGUAAUUUGCAGAGGAUGUUUCUGGCGCGGUGCCUUCCGAGUUCCCUGGAACGGGACGCCACAGAGGGUGAGAGCCCCGUAUGGUCGGACACCAAGCCUGUGUGAAACUCCUUCAACGAGUCGAGUAGUUUGGGAAUGCUGCUCUAAAUGGGAGGUAAAUCUCUUCUAAAGCUAAAUACCGGCCAGAGACCGAUAGCGCACAAGUAGAGUGAUCGAAAGAUGAAAAGCACCUUGAAAAGGGGGUUAAAUAGUACGUGAAAUUGUUGAAAGGGAAGCACUUAUGACCAGACUUGGGCCGGGCGGCUCAUCAGGGGUUCUCCCCUGUGCACUCCGCCCGGCACAGGCCAGCAUCGGUUUUCGCGGGGGGAUAAGACCGACGGGAACGUAGCACCCUCCGGGGUGUGUUAUAGCCCGGCGGACGAUACCCUCGCGGGGACCGAGGUCCGCGCUCCGCAAGGAUGCUGGCGUAAUGGUCAUCAGUGACCCGUCUUGAAACACGGACCAAGGAGUCGUCCAUUAGAGCGAGCGUUUGGGUGUAAAACCCGCACGCGUAAUGAAAGUGAACGCAGGUGAGAGCUUCGGCGCAUCAUCGACCGAUCCUGAUGUUCUCGGAAGGAUUUGAGUAAGAGUUUUAACGGACGGACCCGAAAGACAGUGAACUAUGCUUGUAUAGGGUGAAGCCAGAGGAAACUCUGGUGGAGGCUCGCAGCGGUUCUGACGUGCAAAUCGAUCGUCAAAUAUGAGCAU
rnacentral:rRNA from 1 species